AUUGAACGCUGGCGGCAGGCCUAACACAUGCAAGUCGAGCGAGCGGCGGACGGGUGAGUAAUGUCUGGGAAACUGCCUGAUGGAGGGGGAUAACUACUGGAAACGGUAGCUAAUACCGCAUACCAGCAGAUGUGCCCAGAUGGGCUUAGCUAGUAGGUGGGGUAAUGGCUCACCUAGGCGACGAUCCCUAGCUGGUCUGAGAGGAUGACCAGCCACACUGGAACGGGUCCACGGUCCAUACUCAUCCGGUAGGCAGAAGUGGCGAAUAUGGCACAAUGGGCGCAAGACUGACGCAGCCAUGCGGCGUGUAUGAAGAAGGCCGUCGGGGUGUAAAGUACUUUCAGUGGGGAGGCGUUACCCGAAGAAGAAGCACCGGCCAACUCCCUGCCAGCCGCCGCGGUAAUAC
rnacentral:rRNA from 1 species